ACGCACGCUGGCGGCGCGCCUAACACAUGCAAGUCGAACGGAGCUGAGAGAAGCUUGCUUUUCUUAGCCUAGUGGCGAACGGGUGAGUAACGCGUGAGUAACCUGCCCUGGAGUGGGGGAAACAGUUGGAAACGACUGCUAAUACCGCAUAAGCCCACGAUCCGGCAUCGGAUUGAGGGAAAAGGAUUUAUUCGCUUCAGGAUGGACUCGCGUCCAAUUAGCUAGUUGGUGAGGUAACGGCCCACCAAGGCGACGAUUGGUAGCCGGACUGAGAGGUUGAACGGCCACAUUGGGACUGAGACACGGCCCAGACUCCUACGGGAGGCAGCAGUGGGGGAUAUUGCACAAUGGGGGAAACCCUGAUGCAGCGACGCCGCGUGGAGGAAGAAGGUUUUCGGAUUGUAAACUCCUGUCGUUAGGGACGAUAAUGACGGUACCUAACAAGAAAGCACCGGCUAACUACGUG
rnacentral:rRNA from 1 species